ACGAACGCUGGCGGCGUGCUUAACACAUGCAAGUCGAGCGAUGAAGCACCUUCGGGUGUGAAUUAGCGGCGAACGGGUGAGGAACACGUGAGAAAUCUGCCUUCAACUCUGGGAUAACUCCGGGAAACCGGGGCUAAUACCGGAUAUGAGACCUGCAGGCAUCUGCGGGUCUGGAAAGUUUUUCGGUUGAAGAUGAUCUCGCGGCCUAUCAGCUUGUUGGUGAGGUAAUGGCUCACCAAGGCGACGACGGGUAGCCGGCCUGAGAGGGCGACCGGCCACACUGGGACUGAGACACGGCCCAGACUCCUACGGGAGGCAGCAGUGGGGAAUAUUGGGCAAUGGAGGAAACUCUGACCCAGCGACGCCGCGUGCGGGAUGAAGGCCUUCGGGUUGUAAACCGCUUUCAGCAGGGAAGAAGCGAAAGUGACGGUACCUGCAGAAGAAGCACCGGCUAACUAUGUGCCAGCAGCCGCGGUAAUACAUAGGGUGCAAGCGUUGUCCGGAAUUAUUGGGCGUAAAGAGCUCGUAGGUGGUUCGUCACGUCGGAUGUGAAACUCUGGGGCUUAACUCCAGACCUGCAUUCGAUACGGGCGAGCUUGAGUAUGGUAGGGGAGUCUGGAAUUCCUGGUGUAGCGGUGGAAUGCGCAGAUAUCAGGAGGAACACCAAUGGCGAAGGCAGGACUCUGGGCCAUUACUGACACUGAGGAGCGAAAGCGUGGGGAGCGAACAGGAUUAGAUACCCUGGUAGUCCACGCCGUAAACGGUGGGCACUAGUUGUGGGGACCUUCCACGGU
rnacentral:rRNA from 1 species